rnacentral:lncRNA from 1 species
GAGACCAUGAGAAUGACAUCACCAAGUGUGCCCUCUGUCCUGUCACUUGGAGCUCCUGGAAGCACAGAAUGUCCCUCAGCCUGGACACUGCCCCUGGCCUGGGGAGGUAGAUGCUCCCCACCUCCCCUCCUGCCCUAGUGCAGAGGAAAGAAGAUCAAAUCUGGAGUCAGCAGACAUAGGAGUCUAAUCCCUGGUUCUGAUAUAUCUAGGCAGUCAUUGCCUUAGCCACACUCAGCCUUAAUCUCCUGAUCUGCAAAAUGGGGAGAACCACACUAACUUUGCAGUUUGCGGUGAGAGUCAAGGAAACCCACGUGAGAAGUGUCUGGCACUGUGCCUCGCAUGUACUGGAUGUGCAGUCUUGAAGGAAUCCUACGCUUCAUGAAUGAGGAUUUGACAUCUGGCAGAGGUCUUUAUGAACACAUUUAUGAUCAUCCUUCAAAGCAACCACAUGAAAUGGGCCAGGGGCUUGUUCUCUUUUAGCAGACAGACGGGUUGAGUCACCACAAGAUGCUGUUAUGGUUUAAAUGUGUGGAGCUAUAUAUAUACAUACACACAUACACAUGUAUAUAUCAAUCAAGCUAUACUUAUCCCCAAUAACAGAGAGGAAAAAUAUAUUAUUAGAAUAAGAGCCGCAUAUUUUGGAAAACUUACCAUGUGCCAGAGACUGUUCUAAUUAUUUUAUAAACAUGUCUCUUGUGGUUUUCAAGAUAACUAUAGAAGGUAACUAUUAUUACUUUUUAACAAAUGAAAGCAAACCUCAGGUUAAGUGACUGGCCCAAGGUCACACAGCAAGCAGUGACAGAGCUAAGUUGCGCUGGCUCUAAAGACCAUGUGUUAUCAACAGCGUCCUCCUGCCUUCUUAUGAAAUGGAAUCCAUAUCAAACUGCUAAGCUUUGUUUUUAGCAAAUAACAUGACUGUCUGGGCUGUGGGCUUAAGGAACAGUGAGUUUGGGGGCAAAGGUCACCCUCUAAUAGUGCUUCAUAAUAUUUCUCCCAGAGAAAGACUCUGGAGCCAGGCAGAUCUGGAUCCAGAUUCCAGUUCUGCCACUUCCUAGCUGUGUCCUCUCACUGAGCUCUCAGAGGCCUCCUUGGCCCGCAUGCUCAGUGGAGUGUCUGGUUGGCCCCGCAGCCCUUGUGUCCAGAUCUGCUGGGCGACACAGUGCCUGGCUGUGCCCUGCAGAGGCUUUCCUGUCCCUGGCUCCCAUGCUUCCCCUGAGGAGAGCAGGCGAUGGGUGUCAGCUUAUGUGAGCCCUUUGGUUGCAUGGAUCGGGUGAAAAACAGACAGAGCUGAAGAAUUUGAACUGAGAUGUCAAUUGUGGAGCAGGAUUACUCAUAGCAGCCACCGCCCACUAGGCCAGAACACCUUCGUUUAAACAAACCAACAUCCCAGGGGACAGUGCCUGUUGAGCAAGCUGCUGAGAGCCCUUCACUAGUGCUGAGUCCUCAGGCCUGCAGGGGACACUCCACAUCUGACCCUGCAGGAGAGCGGUGUCCAGGAGCAGGCACCUCAGAUCCAUCCAAGUCACACAGGGAGGCCAGAAGGGCAGCGGGGACACUGAACGCUCUACACGUCCUGAGGUCCCUGACCUCAUAGGCUGGAGGGGAGCAUUUGCUUUGUCUUGUGGAAAGUCCCCAAGUGGAUGGGCUAACAAUCGAUUCCAGUUGCACCCACGCUGCUAACUCUGGCCAUGUUUCCUAUACUUCCGUUCCUGUGAUCCAUCUCUUGCCCCUUCCAGAUCAGACAGUGACCUCCCGGGCCUCCUGGGGAUGCAGUUGUCCUCCCUGCACUCAGAUCUGGAGCUGCUGCUUCCUAGCGGAGGAGUCAGCCUACCGA